UGAGGCCCUGCUGUCUUUCUUGCGGCGUGUUCCAGAUCUUAAAGGGGUGAGGCUGGACAUGGGCCCCCUGACUGAGAGAUCGGCCUCUGGGGUCAUCUCCCUCAUCCAGGCCUGCCCAACACUCACAGACCUCAGGUGGUUCUGUGGAGAACAAGGGUAUGGCAUCGUCUCUGAGGAAGGACUUAACAUCCUCCAGCAGUCUCAACAUCAUCUCAGAGGCAUCCUCUCUCUAACAGGGCUGAAGUGCCGAGUGUCUGCUGAGCUGUGCCCUGACCACAUAGACCUGAAGCACCGUCACCAGAGAGAAGAGCUCCAGUUCACAGGGGACUCUGUCCAACACAGAGAUGUUGGGUUCAUCCAUGACCUGUUGAAUUCGAGUGACGAUCCCUUCCGGAUGUGGGGGUGACAAAGAGAAGCCGUCUCAUCUUGACCUGUUUAUGUUUACAUUCAUUCUGUUGGCAGAUUGCCUCCAGAGCACAUGACAGUGUAACACAUAUUCUGGUGAACUUCUACCGCUGCACCAUUGAGAGCAUCCUCACCAACUGCAUUUCAGUCUGGGAUGGCAGCUGCUCUGUUGCGGACCGCAAAACACUCCAGAGGGUAGUGAAAACUGCCCAACGCAUCACUGGUUCCUCACUCCCCACCAUUGAGGCUGUCCAGCGCAAAAGAUGUCUGCGGAAGGCGCGCAGCAUCGAGAAGGACAGCUCCCAUCCCAAC
ensembl:lncRNA